rnacentral:misc_RNA from 1 species
GGAACAUGUUGUAGAACCACCGGCAGAGGUUAUUAUCACAGGCACCAAAAUCGGGGUGGCGGAGGAGGGAGGAAAGUUGGGAAUAGACAUGAGAGUCAUGGAGGAGAGAGAAGGCAAGGUCUUGAGAGGAGAGGAGAGAGAAAGGGAUUGUAGUAAUGGAGGAAAGAGAUUGGAUAGUUGAUUGGAUUUUGUAGGACUAAUCUAUUAAUGAG